rnacentral:rRNA from 1 species
GACGAACGCUGGCGGCGUGCCUAAUACAUGCAAGUCGAACGCUGAAGGAGGAGCUUGCUUCUCUGGAUGAGUUGCGAACGGGUGAGUAACGCGUAGGUAACCUGCCUGGUAGCGGGGGAUAACUAUUGGAAACGAUAGCUAAUACCGCAUAAUAGUAGAUGUUGCAUGACAUUUGCUUAAAAGGUGCAAUUGCAUCACUACCAGAUGGACCUGCGUUGUAUUAGCUAGUUGGUGGGGUAACGGCUCACCAAGGCGACGAUACAUAGCCGACCUGAGAGGGUGAUCGGCCACACUGGGACUGAGACACGGCCCAGACUCCUACGGGAGGCAGCAGGAGGGAAUCUUCGGCAAUGGACGGAAGUCUGACCGAGCAACGCCGCGUGAGUGAAGAAGGGUUUCGGAUCGUAAAGCUCGGUUGUAAGAGAAGAACGAGUGUGAGAGUGGAAAGUUCACACUGUGACGGUAGCUUACCAGAAAGGGACGGCUAACUACGUG